rnacentral:rRNA from 1 species
CCUACGGGUGUCAGCAGUGGGGGAUAUUGCACAAUGGGGGAAACCCUGAUGCAGCGACGCCGCGGGGGUGAAGAAGCGCAGAGGCGCGUAAAGCACUGGCAGCAGGGAAGAAAAUGACGGUACCUGAAGAAGAAGCACCGGCUAACUACGUGCCAGCAGCCGCGGUAAUACGUAGGGGGCAAGCGUCAUCCUGAUUUACUGGGUGUAAAGGGGGCGCAGACGGCGAUGCAAGCCAGGAGUGAAAGCCCGGGGCCCAACCCCGGGACUGCUCUUGGAACUGCGUGGCGAGAGUGCAGGAGGGGCAGGCGGAAUUCCUUGUGUAGCGGUGAAAUGCGUAGAUAUCAGGAGGAACACCGGUGGCGAAGGCGGCCUGCUGGACUGCAACUGACGUUGAGGCCCGAAAGCGUGGGGAGCAAACAGGAUUAGAUACCCGGGUAGUC